rnacentral:rRNA from 1 species
CCUACGGGUGGCUGCAGUGGGGAAUAUUGGACAAUGGGGGGAACCCUGAUCCAGCCAUGCCGCGUGUGUGAAGAAGGCCCUCGGGUUGUAAAGUACUUUCAGUGAGGAAGAACGCCUGGUGGUUAAUACCCAUCAGGAAAGACAUCACUCACAGAAGAAGCACCGGCUAACUCCGUGCCAGCAGCCGCGGUAAUACGGAGGGUGCGAGCGUUAAUCGGAAUUACUGGGCGUAAAGCGCGCGUAGGUGGCUUGAUAAGCCGGUUGUGAAAGCCCCGGGCUCAACCUGGGAACGGCAUCCGGAACUGUCAAGCUAGAGUGCAGGAGAGGAAGGUAGGAUUCCCGGUGUAGCGGUGAAAUGCGUAGAGAUCGGGAGGAAUACCAGUGGCGAAGGCGGCCUUCUGGACUGACACUGACACUGAGGUGCGAAAGCGUGGGUAGCCAACAGGAUUAGAUACCCUAGUAGUC